rnacentral:rRNA from 1 species
UUGAACGCUGGCGGCAUGCUUUACACAUGCAAGUCGAACGGUAACAGGCCGCAAGGUGCUGACGAGUGGCGAACGGGUGAGUAAUGCAUCGGAACGUGCCCAGUCGUGGGGGAUAACUACUCGAAAGAGUAGCUAAUACCGCAUACGAUCUAUGGAUGAAAGCGGGGGACCGUAAGGCCUCGCGCGAUUGGAGCGGCCGAUGUCAGAUUAGGUAGUUGGUGGGGUAAAGGCUCACCAAGCCAACGAUCUGUAGCUGGUCUGAGAGGACGACCAGCCACACUGGGACUGAGACACGGCCCAGACUCCUACGGGAGGCAGCAGUGGGGAAUUUUGGACAAUGGGCGCAAGCCUGAUCCAGCAAUGCCGCGUGCAGGAAGAAGGCCUUCGGGUUGUAAACUGCUUUUGUACGGAACGAAACGGCUCUGGUUAAUACCCGGGGCUAAUGACGGUACCGGAAGAAUAAGCACCGGCUAACUACGUG